CGUUACAUGCAAAUACAGCUAUAGUUAUCUUUUAGAACCAAAAGAAUAUUCAAGGCUUAGAAUGAUGGAAUGCAGUUUUUACACCUUACCUUAACUACACACACAGUAUUGUGCCCGUAGAAGAUGUUCUACCCUUCAGCGAGUGUUUGAUAAACCUCCUUGGUUCUUUCAUGAGACAUCUUUCAUUUCUCACAGCACAAAACCCGUAUGUGAACAUGGCGACUGUUCUGACACUUUGUGUGUGAACAUCAUGCAGUUCAAAAGAACUUUGUUUGGCAUGGAGCUAGGGUUCUUUCUUACAGAGCCAUAGCUUUUGUUUAGGUGUCAAAGGAGCAUCCCUCUCAUCUCUCAGAUUGAUGGCAUCGUCUAGGACUUCCCACAUAGACAAGAUAAACUAAAGGCUUCUGCAGACAGAUGUUCUCAGAGCACAGCCAGCAGGGAUAGCAAACAGGACGUAGGAGUUUUGCAGGAGUUUAGCGGGAAGUGUGCGGCGGAUCCUGGAACAAGCCCCUGCAAUCACAAGGAUCACAAGGAGCCUGGUGGAGAAGAGAACGUGCACUAUGAAAAGAGACUGCUGUAGAUAGAAGGAGAGUCCUGAUUGCUACGACAGGUGAAAAAGGAAAAGUGAAUGAAGGAUUGGUGGAAGACUAAGGAAAAGAUGAAGCAGCUGCAUCCUCACCUGCUGCACUGGAGGAUCUGAAGGACAUGACAAGACAAUCAAAAGCACCCAGACCAUGUUCCACCAAAGAUAUUUGGCAAACUUCAGACCCAGCUUGAAUAAUAUGAACCAGCGCUUCCACAGAGGGACUGAGCACUCAGCCAUUGCAAGAAUUGCAGGAAUAAAGACAGAUGGAGAAAUGGCAUAGAAUUGAUAAUACUUUGGCCAACGGCUAGGAGACAGCCCUUCAGGAAAUGUUCUCUUUGGGGGAGGGAAUUCUAUCAUUGUCAAGAGCUGACAAGCACUCACUUGACAUUUUUGCACUUUCAUAUUUCCUGAGAAUUUGGGUUUUAAAAGAUGGGCUGGUUCAAGAUGUUCAGAAUGAAAGUAGAAGUGAUUACUAAUACAUUGCUUGGAAUGCCAUAUGAUUACUAGAGAAAAUGCAUGAAGAUGAAUCUAGGGACGUAUCUUUUGAAAUGCUAGUUGAAUGAAAGACCAUAAUAAUCUUAAUAAAGUAGUAACCUGAAUGUUAACUAGCUCCUUGUGCUAACUUCUCAAUACUCAAAGUA